ensembl:lncRNA
GUCAAUAACUACUACUGACCCUGACCCCAUCUCCUAGGUCAAUAACUAUUCUGACCAAGACCGCAUCUCCUAGGUCAAUAACUACUACUAACCCUGACCCUGAUCCCAUCUCCUAGGUCAAUAACUACUACUGACCCUCACCCUAACCCCAUCUCCUAGGUCAAUAACUACUACUGACCCUGACCCCAUCUCCUAGGUCAAUAACUACUACUGACCCUGACCCCAUCUCCUAGGUCAAUAACUACUACUGACCCUGACCCCAUCUCCUAGGUCAAUAACUACUACUGACCCUGACCCUGACCCCAUCUCCUAGGUCAAUAACUACUACUAACCCUGACCCCAUCUCAUAGUUCAAUAACUACUACUGACCCUGACCCUGACCCCAUCUCCUAGG